rnacentral:rRNA from 1 species
UGUGGAUAGGGGAGAAAUUCCAAUCGAACCCGGAGAUAGCUGGUUCUCCUCGAAAUAGCUUUAGGGCUAGCCUCGAUACAGAUUUGCGGAGGUAGAGCACUGAAUUUCCUAGGGGGCGUCAAAGCCUACCGAAGAAUAUCAAACUCCGAAUGCCGCGUAAUCGAUUAUCGGGAGUCAGACUGCACGAGAUAAGUUGGGCGGUCAAAAGGGAAAGAGCCCAGACCUUCAGUUAAGGUCCCCAAGUGCGCGUUAAGUGGAAAAGGAUGUGGGAUUUCGAAGACAACCAGGAUGUUGGCUCAGAAGCAGCCAUCCAUUCAAAGAGUGCGUAAUAGCUCACUGGUCGAGAGGUCCUGCGCCGAAAAUGUCCGGGGCUGAAACGCGCCACCGAAACUAAGGAACCGAAAGGUUGGUAGAGGAGCAUUGCAUGCGGAACGAAGCAGUACCGUAAGGAGCUGUGGACUGCAUGGAAGAGAGAAUGCCGGAAUGAGUAGCGAGAAUAAGGUGAGAAUCCUUAUGGCCGAAUAUCCAAGGUUUCCAGAGUAAAGCUGAUCUGCUCUGGGUAAGUCGGGGCCUAAGGCGAGGACGAGAGUCGUAGCCGAUGGACAACAGGUGGAGAUUCCUGUACUGCGGUAUGACAGAACUGUGGGGACACGUAAGGAAAGCGGAAGCCGGGAAUGGAAAGCCCGGUGCAAGCGGGGUACCAGCCACUUUGGCAAAUCCGGGUGGCAAUGGGAAGCCGUGAUGCGGAGCGAAAUAAAGUAGCGAAGUCCGUGAGCCAUGCGUCAAGAAAAGCCGCUAUUGUUUAUACCGUACCCGUACCGUAAACCGACACAGGUGGAUGAGGAGAGAAUCCUAAGGCCGGCGGAAGAAGCAUUGUCAAGGAACUCGGCAAAAUGGCCCCGUAACUUAGGGAUAAGGGGUGCCUGGGAAACCAGGCCGCAGAGAAUAGGCUCAAGCAACUGUUUAGCAAAAACACAGGUCUAUGCGAAACCGAAAGGUGAGGUAUAUGGGCUGACGCCUGCCCGGUGCUGGAAGGUUAAGAGGAGAGGUUAGCGCAAGCGAAGCUUUGAAUUUAAGCCCCAGUAAACGGCGGCCGUAACUAUAACGGUCCUAAGGUAGCGAAAUUCCUUGUCGGGUAAGUUCCGACCCGCACGAAAGGCGUAAUGAUUUGAGCGCUGUCUCGACAAUGCAUCCGGUGAAAUUGAAGUACCAGUGAAGAUGCUGGUUACCUGCGCCAGGACGGAAAGACCCCAUGGAGCUUUACUCCAGUCUGGUACUGGGACUCGGUAUUGCAUGUACAGGAUAGGUGGGAGGCUAGGAGAUGGUAACGCCAGUUGCCAUGGAGCCGCUGUUGGGAUACCACCCUUGCAGUAUUGGGUUUCUAACCAGCCGCCGUGACCCGGCGGUGGGACAAUGCCAGACGGGGAGUUUGACUGGGGCGGUCGCCUCCGAAAGGGUAUCGGAGGCGCCCAAAGGUUCCCUCAGAAUGGACGGAAACCAUUCGAAGAGUGCAAAGGCAGAAGGGAGCUUGACUGCGACACCGACGGGUGGAGCAGGUACGAAAGUAGGGCUUAGUGAUCCGGUGGUAUUAAGUGGGAAUGCCAUCGCUCAACGGAUAAAAGCUACCCUGGGGAUAACAGGCUUAUCACUCCCAAGAGUUCACAUCGACGGAGUGG